AGUGAACGCUGGCGGUAGGCCUAACACAUGCAAGUCGAACGGCAGCACAGUAAGAGCUUGCUCUUACGGGUGGCGAGUGGCGGACGGGUGAGGAAUACAUCGGAAUCUACUUUUUCGUGGGGGAUAACGUAGGGAAACUUACGCUAAUACCGCAUACGACCUACGGGUGAAAGCAGGGGAUCUUCGGACCUUGCGCGAUCGAAUGAGCCGAUGUCGGAUUAGCUAGUUGGCGGGGUAAAGGCCCACCAAGGCGACGAUCCGUAGCUGGUCUGAGAGGAUGAUCAGCCACACUGGAACUGAGACACGGUCCAGACUCCUACGGGAGGCAGCAGUGGGGAAUAUUGGACAAUGGGCGUAAGCCUGAUCCAGCCAUACCGCGUGGGUGAAGAAGGCCUUCGGGUUGUAAAGCCCUUUUGUUGGGAAAGAAAAGCAGCAGGUUAAUACCCCGCUGUUCUGACGGUACCCAAAGAAUAAGCACCGGCUAACUUCGUG
rnacentral:rRNA from 1 species